GUGCCAGCAGCCGCGGUAAUACGUAGGGUGCAAGCGUUAAUCGGAAUUACUGGGCGUAAAGCGUGCGCAGGCGGCUUUGCAAGACAGAUGUGAAAUCCCCGGGCUCAACCUGGGAACUGCAUUCGAUACUGACAGGCUAGAGAACGGUAGAGGGAGGCGGAAUUCCGGGUGUAGCAGUGAAAUGCGUAGAGAUGUGGAGGAACACCGAUGGCGAAGGCAGCCCCCUGGGCUGAGAUUGACGCUCAGGCACGAAAGCGUGGGGAGCGAACAGGAUUAGAUACCCUGGUAGUCC
rnacentral:rRNA from 1 species